GUCUCUCUGCUUUAUGUUCAUACCUCCCCCCCCCCCCAAUCCACCCCAGUCACCCUCGUGUAUGAUGUAUGUCGGCUGUGGGUGAUAUGGAUGGGGGAGGGGGGAGGUAUGAACAGUGUCAUGACUGGCAUGACAAUACGACAUCUUGCGUUUCUUAUUGUCACCUCGAGUGACAGUGUGACGGGUGGAAAAGUCUGUGUGAGAAAGAAAGUGUGUGUGCGCGUCAGUGAAUGAGAGUGUGAUGCUGAAAUGAUGAACAACACGAGAUGGGUGGGGCUGAUUCCAAUCUUAGUAUAUAAGGGGGGGGGGG